rnacentral:rRNA from 1 species
UACAGAGGGUGCAAGCGUUAAUCGGAGUUACUGGGCGUAAAGGGCGCGUAGGCGGUUUAGUAAGUGAGAUGUGAAAUCCCUGGGCUUAACCUAGGAACUGCAUCUUAUACUGUUAAGCUAGAGUAUUGUAGAGGGUAGUGGAAUUUCCGGUGUAGCGGUGAAAUGCGUAGAGAUGUGGAGGAACACCAAUGGCGAAGGCAGCCUUCUGGGCCAACACUGACGCUCAUGCACGAAAGCGUGGGGAGCAAACAGG